rnacentral:rRNA from 1 species
UACGAAGGGGGCUAGCGUUGCUCGGAAUUACUGGGCGUAAAGGGAGCGUAGGCGGGUCGUCAAGUUGGGGGUGAAAGCCCAGGGCUCAACCUUGGAAUUGCCUUCAAAACUGACGAUCUAGAGUAUGGAAGAGGUAAGUGGAACUCCGAGUGUAGAGGUGAAAUUCGUAGAUAUUCGGAAGAACACCAGUGGCGAAGGCGGCUCACUGGCCCGGUACUGACGCUGAGGCACGAAAGCGUGGGGAGCAAACAGG